GACGAACGCUGGCGGCGUGCCUAAUACAUGCAAGUAGAACGCUGAAGGAGGAGCUUGCUUCUCUGGAUGAGUUGCGAACGGGUGAGUAACGCGUAGGUAACCUGCCUGGUAGCGGGGGAUAACUAUUGGAAACGAUAGCUAAUACCGCAUAAGAGUAGAUGUUGCAUGACAUUUGCUUAAAAGGUGCAAUUGCAUCACUACCAGAUGGACCUGCGUUGUAUUAGCUAGUUGGUGAGGUAACGGCUCACCAAGGCGACGAUACAUGGCCGACCUGAGAGGGGGAUCGGCCACACUGGGACUGAGACACGGCCCAGACUCCUACGGGAGGCAGCAGUAGGGAAUCUUCGGCAAUGGACGGAAGUCUGACCGAGCAACGCCGCGUGAGUGAAGAAGGUUUUCGGAUCGUAAAGCUCUGUUGUAAGAGAAGAACGAGUGUGAGAGUGGAAAGUUCACACUGUGACGGUAUCUUACCAGAAAGGGACGGCUAACUACGUG
rnacentral:rRNA from 1 species